rnacentral:rRNA from 1 species
AACGUAGGAGACAAACGUUAUCCGGAGUUACUGGGCGUAAAGGGCGUGUAGGUGGUUUUGUAAGUCUGGCGUGAAAUUUUUCGGCUUAACCGGGAAAGGUCGUCGGAUACUGCAGAACUAGAGGACGGUAGAGGCGUGUGGAAUUCCGGGUGUAGUGGUGAAAUGCGUAGAUAUCGGGAGGAACACCAGUGGCGAAGGCGACUACCUGGCCUGUUCUUGACGCUGAGGCGCGAAAGCUAGGGGAGCAAACGGG